rnacentral:lncRNA from 1 species
CGUGGCGGUGGAACUCAGGCAGCUGGCAGUAAGAGUUAUCAUUACAGGGGUCGAACUUACAUCGUCAGGCUUGGCAGCAAGCUCCUUUACCUACUGAGAUACACUGCCAACCCCUGUCUACAUAUAUUCUGUAAUACAGUUAGGACCCUAAUUAAAAGCCGCCCCAGCAAAGGGAAGGGAAAUGAUCAAAAUGUAGAGCCUGUAACUCCAAAUUCUGCUUCUUUGUGCUUUCACAGGAUGAAGUGGGGAGCACGUGUACAUGGGUCGGCCCCUGCUGUCCAUCAAGAUGGACACAAGCUGGGAGCUACUGGACAAAAGGAGCAGGUGACAGAGCAAAGAGAAAGCAAGGAAAUGGGGCAGAAAGAAGGCCCAGGACAGAGGCUACACAGGACAGGAGGGGAUCAGAGAAGGAAUCUAUAGCAGCCUUUAUGAGAGAUCCGCAGGGGAGACUCAGACAUGACGCCACCAUGCUCAGCUCUGAAGGUCUUGAUAUAACUGAAGGCUGGGUGAGUGUAGAGCGAUGGACAGGUGACUCGAACAACUAAGGUUCCUGGCCUCAGCCCUGGGAAGCCCUUUCAUUCUAUCUGUGGCUCCGGGGGCAGGUUGAUUCAUUUUGUGCAGAUGGGAACAUUAAGUUGUCAUAAUUUGACUCAUUUAAAAUUUGCAUAAUAGAUUUGAUUGCCUCCGCUCUUCCUCG